AAUAGGGUAGAAACUAUUGUACAUUUUCUGAUUGUCAAUCGCUGAAUUUACAAUACAAUGAUGUAGUUAGUGGUGAUAGUUA